UCCAUCAGAACUGUUAGCAAACAAACUGAAACUCUCCUCAGGAGACAACGACUGGCAAGAGAAUGAAGCUGUCUUUAACCCUCCUGUUUCUCCAGCUGUGGAGGAACAUGGAACUCUCUUCGUCACAGAACGCUACACCGUACAGAUGAUGCACAAGAAAGGCCGCAAACAGUUUGCUAAAGACAAGCAGACUAAGGACAUGGAUAACUGGUACCAUGUCCUGUGGUCUAAUGUGACCAAGAUAAACUCAUUUGGUUCAGAUGGUGUCAUGUGUGUGUGGCGACAUCCAGGUGAGUAGCACAAAGAUAAGUGUGGCUUGCCUACAGUCAAGCAUGGUGGUGGGUGUGUCAAGGUCUGGGGCUGCAUGAGUGCUGCUGGCAGUGGGGAGCUACAGUUCACUGAGGGAACCAUGAAUGCUAGCUUGUACUGUGACAUACUGAAGCGGAGCAUGAUCCCCUCCCUUCGGAAACUGGGCUGCAGGGCAGUAUUCCAACAUGAUAACGACCUCAAACACACCCCCAAGACGACCACUGCCUUGCGAAAGAAGCUGAGGGUAAAGGUGAUGGAGUGGCCAAGCAUGUCUCCAGACUUAAACCCUACUGAGCAUCUGUGGGGCAUCUUCAAAAAGAAAGGUGGAGGUGCACAAAGUCUCUAACAUCCACUGGCUCUGUGAUGUCGUCAUGGAGGAGUGGAAGAGGAUUCCAGCGGCAACCUGUAAGGCUCUGGUGAACUCCAUGCUCAAGAGGGUUAAGGCAGUGCUGGAAAACAAUGCUGGCCACACAAAAUAUUGACUCUUUGGGCCUAGUUUGGACAUUUUCCAUUAGGGGUGUACUCACUUUUGUUGCCAGUUGUUUAGACAUUAAUGGAUGUGUGUUGAGUUAUUUAGAGGGGGUAGUAAAUUUACACAGGUAUACAAGCUGUACACCGACUACUUUACAUUGUGUACAAAGUGUCAUUUCUUCAGUGUUGUCCCACGAAAAGCUAUAAUAAAAUAUUUGCAGAAAUUUGUGAGAUACUGUAUAUUAGCAGAUAAAUCAGUUCUCUGCAAGUAUUCCUUUCUUGCAUCAUUUGCAAUAGCAGCUUUAUACUGUUUUUUUAUUUUCCUUGUAGCUCUGCAUUAUAACAACCUGUUGACUGAAGUAUAUGACGCUCAGUAAUUUCAUUUUCUGCAGAAGAAGAGUCAUAUGACAUGUUAAACACCUAUUUUAUGUGGAAAAGCAUAGAGUCUGAAGCAGACAGCCUGAGUUAACAAGAAAGUUGAUAACCACUUUUGUGAUAUCUGUUAUCUCUCACUAAGGCUUUCGUUUUGUUGAACCGACCUACACAAACAAAGCCUUGCUUCAUAAUAUACCACUCAGCUAUAGUAUGCAAUGGGUUUUUAGACAUUUAACUGUUACCAAAACAGUAAAGUAACAGAUUGGGGGCCAAACUAUCAACUCAUGUGCCAUGAAGCUCUGUAAAGCUGACGUAAACAGUAAAAUGCAAACAUUUUGAUGGUAAAAUGAAUCAUAUUGUUUUUUGACUGGAUAAUAUGUUUUAUCCUUUUCAGACCCUUGUCAAGUUGGCAAGAUGCAUCCUCGUCUCUUUGUAGCUGGAUUACCACCAACAAAUGAAAUAAUAAAAACCGGACAUAAAUUACAGUUUCAGUGCAGCAAUGACUUGACACUAAAUGGAUCUGAAGAAAUUGAGUGUUUACAAACUGGACAGUGGAGUGCCCCCUUCCCAACAUGCUCUGGAAUUAAAUGUAGAGUCCCCCUGAUUGAACAUGGUGUGGUGCUUGGAAGCGUCCAAGAGUACCAAGAAAAUCAAGUCCUGAAUUAUCGGUGUGAUCCUCGAUACAAGCGUGCAGAAGAAAGACAAUCAAGAUGCAUGAAAGUGGGAACAAAAGCAGAGUGGAGUCCUACACCUGCAUGUGAAAAAAUAAAAUGUGAAGUGAGACUGCCAGCACUUGAAGGAUUUGAACCUGCUUACAGAAGUGUGUUUUCCCCUGGUGACACACUCAGAGUUUUCUGUGGAGAGAAACACUGGAUUGUGGACCAUCAGACCACCUCAGCACAGACGACUUGCCAAAGUGAUGGAACGUGGAGUAUCAGGCCACUCUGCCAAGAGGUCAUAUGCAGGAAUGAACGAGACCCACGUGUGUACAGCUGGAGUGUCAAUUGGUACGAUCAGAAAAAACUGGGUGACUCUGUGUAUUACAGGUGUAGAUAUGGUUAUCAGAGUACAAGUAGAACCAAUCAGGCCACUUGCACCAGAGAUGGAUGGACACCAAAACCACUGUGUCAAGAAACUGCUGCCAAUAGAUGAGCUCUUCCUCUUCCUUACAUACCUGUCUACUGGCUGCACCCAGAGGGAACUGGGCCAUCGAUUUAACAUCCACCGAACAACAGCCAGUAGAAAAAUUGUGACCUGGGCCAACUUUCUUUACGGCCUUUUGGGCUCCAUCUGUACCUGGAUGACUCCUACAGCUGUAAAGGCCAGUCUUCCACGUGACUUUCAUGGCACCUACAGUGACAUGCAAGUAAUCCUCGACUGCACAGAGCUACGUUGUCAAACUCCCUCAUCACUGCUUCUUCAGAGUGAAGUUUUCUCCAACUACAAGUCCCACUGCACCUUCAAGGCAAUGGUUGGAGUAUCCCCUCAUGGAGCCCUGACCUUUGUGUCCACCCUCUUUGAAGGUUCGAUGAGUGACAAGGAGGUUUUUCGGCAGUCAGAGAUUACAUCACUCCUAACACCUGACAUGGCAAUCAUGGUUGAUAAAGGCUUCUUGGUUGAUGACCUUGUACCUGGAUUCAUCGCCCUGCCUUUCUCUCUCAGAGGACACAGAUGCUGGAGGUAGAUGUCUUGAAGACGCAGUCCAUUGCUCGUUUAAGAGUGCAUGUCGAGAGGAUGAUCCGAAGAGUUAGACAAAAUAAACUCUUCGAUACCACUAUCCCUCGCUCCAUCUCAGGGAGUAUCAACCAGCUCUUUACAGUUGCAUGUCUCCUCUCUAAUUAUCAAAAUGGACCUCUUGUCAAGAAAGGGAGGCAUGAAGUUUAAAAUUGUAGCCAUGUCUUCUUCAUGAAGAAUUUGACACGAAUGUGUAUUCCUUUCCUGUUGUAAAUUGCAUUUUUGUACAAUUUAUUCUGUCAAACGUAUGUGCUUAGCACUUCUUACAGUAUAUUCUAUGUUGAAUCUGUCCAAUUCUGUAAAAAGUAAUGUUUGACAGCAACACUAUAUAUAAAGAGAAUGUGAACAAA